CUCGAGCUCGCGGAGGCUGGUCACCGCGGUGGGUGACGCCCACCGCCGUGGCACCUCGAUCGCCUCGACGUUCGAGGC
rnacentral:tRNA from 1 species